UUUUCUGGCUGGGGGCGCCAGACGCGGCAAUUAAGUUGUUGUGGUUAAAGCUCGUAGUUGAACCUUGGGCCUGGCUGGCCGGUCCGCCUCACCGCGUGCACUGGUCCGGCCGGGCCUUUCCCUCUGCGGAACCCCAUGCCCUUCACUGGGUGUGGCGGGGAAACAGGACUUUUACUUUGAAAAAAUUAGAGUGCUCAAGGCAGGCCUAUGCUCGAAUACAUUAGCAUGGAAUAAUAGAAUAGGACGUGUGGUUCUAUUUUGUUGGUUUCUAGGACCGCCGUAAUGAUUAAUAGGGACAGUCGGGGGCAUCAGUAUUCAAUUGUCAGAGGUGAAAUUCUUGGAUUUAUUGAAGACUAACUACUGCGAAAGCAUUUGCCAAGGAUGUUUUCAUUAAUCAGGAACGAAAGUUAGGGGAUCGAAGACGAUCAGAUACCGUCGUAGUCUUAACCAUAAACUAUGCCGACUAGGGAUCGGACGAUGUUACAUUUUUGACGCGUUCGGCACCUUACGAGAAAUCAAAGUGCUUGGGCUCCAGGGGGAGUAUGGUCGCAAGGCUGAAACUUAAAGAAAUUGACGGAAGGGCACCACCAGGGGUGGAGCCUGCGGCUUAAUUUGACUCAACACGGGGAAACUCACCAGGUCCAGACACAAUGAGGAUUGACAGAUUGAGAGCUCUUUCUUGAUUUUGUGGGUGGUGGUGCAUGGCCGUUCUUAGUUGGUGGAGUGAUUUGUCUGCUUAAUUGCGAUAACGAACGAGACCUUAACCUGCUAAAUAGCCCGUAUUGCUUUGGCAGUACGCUGGCUUCUUAGAGGGACUAUCGGCUCAAGCCGAUGCAAUGGCCCCAAAUAACACGGCUCAUGCCGC
rnacentral:rRNA from 1 species